rnacentral:lncRNA from 1 species
UGCUGCUCUCUCUGCUAAUUGAGCCAAGGAGGGUUUGAGAUGGGUAGCUGCAAGUCCUCAUUUAAAUCCUCCUGCUGCAGGCUGGCCCAGAGCAGGCAGGGCCAGCAACACGAGGAAGGUGAGGGAGCCUUGGCGUCCGGCAGUCAUCAGACACAAACCAUGGUGCCACCAGGCAUAGACCACUGCUUCCAGCCAAGCUCAUCUGGGCUUCUGUCACCCUGAGAGAGGACUAGAAGCUGAAUUUACGCCACUCCAGCCUACUCUGCGCCUUGGGAUCAGCUGGGGAUGGCCUUAACCUGUGUGCUUCAGUAAAGAAGACCUUCGGACAGCCCUGUGAAUGCUGUGCCAUAAAGAGCAGCCAGUGCCAGCCACGUACAUUAUCC